GGCUCCCACUUACUGUUAACGGCUGUCUUGGUAUUUUGCAAAUAGACUGGUGUUUCCUAAAUUUUUCUGAUGUGCGUGCGCACUCCUGUGAGUGUUUGUGUGUGUGAGUGUGUGUGUGUGUGUGUGUGAGCAAGUGCACGUGUGUUCAUCUCAGCGAUAACCUAGAAAGGUGAACUAAGCAGCUAAGGCUCUUCUGGGUGACCACCUUACAGGCCAUCAGAGGUGCAUCACCACGCCUGUGUUUGCAUUCUGAGCCGGUGGUGACUUUGGCCUGACUCUAUCUUAUGCACAAGGAAACUGAGGCUCAGGGGAGCGUGGGGGUGUGCCUCGGCUGCACAGCCCUGUGGGUGCAGGCCUGAGGGGUGUUGUGGGGCCCCGUCCCCUCCCACACUGGCCUCUGCCUCUGCCUCUCGCCCCUGUCAUCAUUCCUGGGACGUGGGCUCUAAAUCUGAUUUGAUUACUGAGGACAAACUAGCUUAUAAAAUGCUGCAGAGCAGUGUCUUUCCUCUCCGAGAACUGGAUAUAAUAAAGUUGGCUUGAUCUCCCCAGCCUGUAUCUUGAGGGAACAAGUAAAUUAAACAAGUAAUUAUAUCCAUAAUGUUUUUAGAAGUUAGAAGAUUUAAAUAUAUGAAUCUCAUCUGAGCUUGCUGCCUUUUGUCUGCGGUGUUUCCUGCCAAAAGAUCUCUUGACAGGAAAUAAACAUUAAAAUAAUCUUUAAUCCCUUGUCUGGUCUAUUACCAUUAACAAUUGAUGCACUUUAAUUUUGUGGGAUUUUAACUACAAAAUGGAACGGCUAAGUAGUGAUAAUUGGGUUUGGAAUUAUACGGUCAUUUAUAUCAACAGAGAUGCAAGAGGCUGGGAGGGAGGGUGAUUAAUUAUUUACUCUUUCCUGGCUGUGGUUCCUAUUAUAGAAUUUUCUGAUAUGUUCUGCUGUGAACAAUUAUCACCAAAUGAAAGUAAACAAAUCUGUGAUCUGAAGCCUUAUUUAGAAGUUAGUCUAUAUUUAGGUGAUCAGGGCUUGGUUUUCAUGGACCCUGUGGGCUGGGCGCAUUCCUUUUCUCAGGGUCCCGCCAGCUCUGAAUUUGAAUAUGCUUCUCUCUCUGCAUCUUAAAAACUCUAGAACAUGCAGCCCUGGGGAGACCCCUCGGUUUGCCAGGGGAGGACCACACCAGCCCUGAGCCAGAUCUCUGGUCAGUGCCAGCGAUGUAUCUGGGAGGGGGGCCUGGGUGGAUCCUCCGCAUCCCUGGCUUGCUGCAUCACGGCGCGGCGGCGCGGGGAGACCCAGGAGCAAAAUGGGUGUGUCCGCCUGAGAGCAAGGGUGGUGCUCUGAUUUCUCUGCGUGCGAGUGGGUGCUCAUGGAGCCCCCCUUCCUGCCUCCGUCUCCCCGUCCUCGUUCAGUGACCCAUCCACGCUGUGAUCAGGCCUUUGCAGGGGGCAGUCACCCAUCCGACACGCACUCCCCUUCUGCCUCGCUUGGUGGUGACCCGCAUCCGUAGAGCACACCCGCGUAUCUUUUUGCCUCUCCCUCCAUGUGACUCCUUCCAAAGCCAGGGGCCGGCAUCCUUAAGUAGACAGAUCCCUCUGAUGUGCGGGGAUCGAUGGGUCCUGGGUACCAUGUGUUCCCUGGGAAGUGGCAGGACGCGUAAAGCAAAGGGGUGGGCACAAGCCAUGCCGAGCGUCACUCGGACAGUCAUGGUCCAUUCCCAGGCUCUGUGCCGUCAGGGCCUGGGACCAGACGUGUGAUAAGCAAGGUUGCCCUCCGGGGUCACGCCCUCAUGUAAUUCUGCGCGUGACAAGCCCUCUCCUGGUGCCUGUCUACCUGCCCAAUGAGCAGCUGCUCCCGCAUCCACCUGCAGGGUCCCCCAGCCAGGGACUGUCUUGGUGCCUCCCCCGCCCCAGAUGUCCUGCCAUCACUGAUUGGUCACUCCCUGCCUCCGGUCCAACCACGGUCCUCCUCCUCAGCAUCACCACCCUGGCCGCGGUCACCGUCAUGCCUGGCCUGGGUCACGGCCGUCCUCCCUCCCUGGUCUCCACACUCCCAGCAGCCUGGGCCCCGCAGGUGCAGGUCGUAGGCCCCCCUGCUCUUCCCUGCAGGCGAUUCUCAAAGGAGGCAGAGCCCACCUUGCCUUGCGUAGCUUGGGAGGCGGAGCAGAGCAUGGCCGGGGACCCCCAGGGGCCACACCUGACUCUUGGUGUGUUGUUCUUGUUUAUGACUAGCUCACUGUCAUCGGGGGGUAGAGUGUGGAUGUUGGUGGGGACGACCCCGUGAGGAGGAAUCGAGCGGUGCUGGACACACGGGAGACGCGGGACUCAGGGGCCAAGAGACUUUGCUGUUUGACCUUCUCUCCGAGUUUCUCACCCUCAGGCUAUUGAUUUGCGGUGUGGGUAACUCGGCUGUAGGGCCUUCCUGUGCCUUGCGGGACGCUUCCCAGCAACCCUGGCCUCUCCUCACUAGAUGCCAGUCGCUCCCGCCUCCCUCCCAAGUCCUAAAAAGCCAAAGAUGUCUGUAGGUGCUGCCAGAUAUCCCUUGGGCAGAGGGCAAACCAACCCCCAGUUGAGAAGCCCUGCUUUACACCCUUCUCCACAGUUUAGGUGUCCCCCCGCCCCAAGAAGAGAGUAUUUACACCAUUCUAUAAUGGAACCAGAGAAAGUGUUGAUGGAACCAGAAUGCUGACGUGAACCCCUGCUUCAGUGAUGCCCGUUAAUGUACCAGGCCCUACUCUGGACACUUGGUCUGUGUGCAGUAAUUCAUUCCUCCAAGAAUUCCAUAAG
rnacentral:lncRNA from 1 species